UACGGGGGGGGCAAGCGUUGUUCGGAAUUACUGGGCGUAAAGGGCGUGUAGGUGGCCAACUAAGUCCGACGUGAAAUCCCCAGGCUUAACCUGGGAACUGCGUCGGAUACUGGAUGGCUUGAAUUCGGGAGAGGAAUGCGGAAUUCCAGGUGUAGCGGUGAAAUGCGUAGAUAUCUGGAGGAACACCGGUGGCGAAGGCGGCAUUCUGGACCGACAUUGACGCUGAGGAGCGAAAGCCAGGGGAGCAAACGGG
rnacentral:rRNA from 1 species